rnacentral:rRNA from 1 species
AGAGUUUGAUUAUGGCUCAGGAUGAACGCUGGCGGCGUGCCUAACACAUGCAAGUCGAGCGUGAACCCUUAGAAUGAAACUUCGGUCGAAUGAAGAGGGGGAAAGCGGCGGACGGGUGAGUAACGCGUAGGCAACCUGCCCCGUACAGAGGGAUAGCCUCGGGAAACCGGGAUUAAAACCUCAUAAUACCAUGGUAUCACAUGAUGCAAUGGUCAAAGAUUUAUCGGUAUGGGAUGGGCCUGCGUCUGAUUAGCUGGUUGGUGGGGUAACGGCCUACCAAGGCAACGAUCAGUAGCCGACCUGAGAGGGUAAUCGGCCACAUUGGAACUGAGACACGGUCCAAACUCCUACGGGAGGCAGCAGUGGGGAAUAUUGCACAAUGGGCGAAAGCCUGAUGCAGCAACGCCGCGUGAGCGAAGAAGGCCUUUGGGUCGUAAAGCUCUGUCGGGAAGGAAGAUAAUGACGGUACUUCCCGAGGAAGCCCCGGCUAACUACGUGCCAGCAGCUGC